GAUGAAGAACGUAGCGAAAUGCGAUACGUAAUGUGAAUUGCAGAAUUCAGUGAAUCAUCGAGUCUUUGAACGCACAUUGCGCCCCCUGGUAUUCCGGGGGGCAUGCCUGUCCGAGCGUCAUUGCUGCCCUCAAGCACGGCUUGUGUGUUGGGCCUCCGUCCUCCUCCCGGGGGACGGGCCCGAAAGGCAGCGGCGGCACCGCGUCCGGUCCUCGAGCGUAUGGGGCUUCGUCACCCGCUCUUGUAGGCCCGGCCGGCGCUUGCCGACACAUCAAUCUUUUUUCCAGGUUGACCUCGGAUCAGGUAGGGAUACCCGCUGAACUUAAGCAUAUCAAUACGCGGAGGA
rnacentral:misc_RNA from 1 species